GAUAGCAAUUAAGACCAUUUUAGAACAGAUACAAGUAGGGAUUUCACUUGAUUAUUUGCCAGGUGGCAGUAAGGAUUAGAAAUGGUGUGAUUUCUGCAGUACUGUUGUACAAACUCUAUAUUUAAAGGAUUUGGUGUUUCUUGUUAUGUGUCCUGUGUGAUAGAUGAAGGUGUUAUCAUAAUGUAUGGUAGAUUAGUUUGAAAAGCAGCUAUUAUUGGAGUCAAAGGCAAAAAGUGACUUUUGAAUAGUUCCCUAAUAAAGUCACGUAAUUGCUGCUUCUGUUUUCUAUCAGUCAUGGUGCUCCUUUUCUCUGCCAGGGCCAGACACCAUUUGAUGUGGCUGAUGAGGGUCUCGUGGAGCAUUUGGAGUUGCUCCAGAAGAAGCAGAAUGUGCUUCGAAGUGAAAAGGAGACACGGAAUAAACUCAUUGAGUCAGAUCUGAACAGCAAGAUUCAGAGUGGGUUCUUUAAGAACAAAGAGAAGAUGCUCUAUGAGGAGGAGACACCUAAGUCCCAAGAAAUGGAGGAAGAAAAUAAAGAAUCUAGUAGCUCCAGCUCAGAGGAGGAGGAAGGUGAAGAUGAAGCUUCUGAGUCAGAAACUGAGAAGGAGGCAGAUAAAAAGCCAGAAGCCUUUGUCAAUCAUUCCAACUCUGAAAGCAAGAGUAGUAUCACAGAGCAGAUACCAGCACCAGCUCAAAAUACCUUCUCUGCCUCUUCUGCUAGGAGG
rnacentral:sRNA from 1 species